GGGAACUACGAGCACGAGCUUAAAACCCAAAGGACUUGGCGGUGCUUUAGACCCCCCUAGAGGAGCCUGUUCUAGAACCGAUACCCCCCGUUCAACCUCACCUUUUCUUGCUAAUACCGCCUAUAUACCACCGUCGUCAGCUUACCCUGUGAAGGGAUCAUAGUAGGCAAAACUGGUAAAAACCCAAAACGUCAGGUCGAGGUGUAGCAUACGAAAAGGAAAGAAAUGGGCUACAUUUCCUACUCCAGGAAAAACGAAUUGUGAAAUGAAACAACACAUGAAGGUGGAUUUAGCAGUAAGCAGAAAACAGAGUGUUCCGCUGAAACUGGCCCUGAAGCGCGCACACACCGCCCGUCAUUCUCCCCGAGUCCUAAGACCCUUAAUAUUUAAUAUCCUUUCAACACAAAGGGGAGGCAAGUCGUAACAUGGUAAGUGUACCGGAAAGUGCACUUGGAGAAAC
rnacentral:rRNA from 1 species